GACGUAGGGGGCAAGCGUUGUCCGGAUUUAUUGGGCGUAAAGAGCGUGUAGGCGGCCAUUCAGGUCAGCUGUGAAAACUCGAGGCUCAACCUCGAGACGUCGGUUGAAACCGUUUGGCUAGAGUCCGGAAGAGGAGAGUGGAAUUCCCGGUGUAGCGGUGAAAUGCGCAGAUAUCGGGAAGAACACCCGUGGCGAAGGCGGCUCUCUGGGACGGUACUGACGCUGAGACGCGAAAGCUAGGGGAGCAAACAGG
rnacentral:rRNA from 1 species